UUAUGAUGUUGUAAAUAUAAACAAGCCAUUGGAGACCUUUUAAAUGAAAUUAGGUCCUAAAAAACCCAAAAUAAAACCGCUCAAACCUCAAACGGAUCCUCUUUCAUUGAUUUCGUCAAAAAAAUCAGCCGAAUCACACUUUUUGGGGCCGAAAUAGUCAAUUUAAGAGCCUGAUACGGCAUUUUUAUAUGGGGGGGCCAAUUAUUGUGAGGUUAUGUGAUCGCCGUUAAUUAGUUCACGCGUACGCCACCGCGGCGGGCGUCCCGGUCUGACAAGUGACAGAUCUGACAGCUUCCGGCAAAAUACAAGGUGAAGCGCAUGCCUCACCGGAAAAUCGUGAACCUCGGGUCGAUUUUCGGGUCCCGAGGUCCUUUCCCAGGGAGACGACCAAGGGUACUUUUAAAAUAGGGGGGGGAGCUCCCGGAAAAUCGUCCGGGAAAACGGGAAAAGUGCGAUUUAAUUAUGAAAAAUAUGUGAAAAGUGUUCUUUAAAGCGCGCUCUUCGUUUCGAUGUAAUUUUCAAUAGUGCGCGCCCGUUUUUUCAAUGGAAAAUCGUCAGGUGAUGUGGCCUCUUUUGAAUGGUUUGGACCCUUGGAGGACUCGGGUGAACAGGAGAGACACCCUGAAGAGGGCCUAGGAAAUGCCCUUCGGAGGUUAGAGAGGACAUAACCUCACAUAUGGCCCCUCUGGGUAGUUAUGGAGUCCAGAGGAGGUCGAACAGAACAGGGACAGAAGAGGACUCAAGGAAAUGCCUCCCGGAGGUAAAAAGAGUACAAACAUAACCUCACAUAAGGGCCCCUCUGGUAGCAAUCGAGUCCAGAGGAGGUCGAACAGAACAAGAGGGACAGAAGAUACCACAAGACAAGACUAGAGUAAAGAGGUGGAACCUCAAGUCGAAACAGUCCCUGGAAACAGUCGAGCAUCAGCAGCAGUGAAACAGAAGAGGAUCCGAGGGGGGACGCGCACCGGGACGUCAGAGGUAACUGAUUGACAUUCAAUUUUUUUCUCUCUCGCUCUCUUUUUCAUUUGUUAUUCACUAUGCCAAUCAACUGUUUUGCAACGUUGCUUAUAAGGGAAAAAAAGCAGCAGCAGGAGCAGGAAGAUCUUUGGCAAGUUUUCCUAAUCUAUGCCAGAAGCUUUCUUUUGUUUUUUUGGCCAGAGGAAACAGUAGAAGCUUGCAGAUGACCGGGGACCUUUGGAGCUCAAUUGUUUUAUUUUAUAUUGUGAUUUUUAAUGUUAUUGUUAUUAUUAUUAUUUAAGGUUGUAAUAAAGUGUGCCCUAAA